rnacentral:rRNA from 1 species
CAUCUAAGGCUAAAUAUGACCACGAGACCGAUAGCGAACAAGUACCGUCGAGGGAAAGUUGAAAAGAACUUUGAAGAGAGAGUUCAAGAGUACGUGAAACCGUUCAGGGGUAAACCUGAGAAACCCAAAAGAUCGAAUGGGGAGAUUCAUCGUUCAGCUGCGCUGGCUUCCGUGCGGAAAGCGAUGACGGGGACCUCGGUCUCGCGUCACGCUGCCGCUGCGGCAUGUCCGCGCGCAGUCGGCGUGCACUUCUCCCCUAGUAGGACGUCGCGACCCGUUGGGUGUCGGACCAAUGGCCGGUCG